AGUGAACGCUGGCGGUAGGCCUAACACAUGCGAGUCGAACGGCAGCACAGUAAGAGCUUGCUCUUACGGGUGGCGAGUGGCGGACGGGUGAGGAAUACAUCGGAAUCUACUUUUUCGUGGGGGAUAACGUAGGGAAACUUACGCUAAUACCGCAUACGACCUACGGGUGAAAGCAGGGGAUCUUCGGACCUUGCGCGAUUGAAUGAGCCGAUGUCGGAUUAGCUAGUUGGCGGGGUAAAGGCCCACCAAGGCGACGAUCCGUAGCUGGUCUGAGAGGAUGAUCAGCCACACUGGAACUGAGACACGGUCCAGACUCCUACGGGAGGCAGCAGUGGGGAAUAUUGGACAAUGGGCGCAAGCCUGAUCCAGCCAUACCGCGUGGGUGAAGAAGGCCUUCGGGUUGUAAAGCCCUUUUGUUGGGAAAGAAAAGCAGCAGGUUAAUACCCCGCUGUUCUGACGGUACCCAAAGAGUAAGCACCGGCUAACUUCGU
rnacentral:rRNA from 1 species